AAAAUAACAUUUUAUUACUGUAAAUUACCUAUGUUAAGUAGACCAUACUUGAAUACUAUUAUUUGAGUAAACCAAAUUAAGUCUGUUAGUCACUAAAGUGUUAAAGUGUUCUUGUGUUACAGAUAGACCUGAAAUGAAAAUUUUUAAAUCCAACAAGAGGGGAUGAAAAAAAUAUGUUUUAAAAAUGUUGUUCGUUUUUCCAGAAUUUAUCCAUUUUUUAUUAUCUAUGGAUGUCAAUGGAUUUCUCUUAUUACAACUAAUAAUAAUACAAAAAUGUAGAUCAGAUUUACUAGCUUCCAAAACCUAAAAUCUCUAG